AGACAUCGUACCGACACCGUCGCGAUGCUGUAUUGCACCGUAUGGAGGACACGGAACAGACGCACUGGAGGGGAACGGUAGUGUACUAAGCGCACAAUACAUGAGCAGCCAGCUCGUCGGCCGUAGGGAAUCUCUUUCCGAGACGUGCAGAUCUGUACUGUUCCAGUUUACGACACGCACUGGACGUUUCGAGUCCACGCUAAAUCGCACAAUCCAGGGCUGCCCAAUCGUUAAUCUGAUCAGCGAUGAUUAGCACAUCGCCUUGCUUUCGAUCUGGCCCUGAAUUGUGGGUGGGCCCUCCCGGUGGGCCCUCCCGAACAAUUGAUACCUACUCAAGCCACAUUACGGCUGU
rnacentral:lncRNA from 1 species